GUCUACAGCCAUGCCAUCCUGAACAAGCCCGAUCCCGUCUGAUCUCGGAAGCUAAGCAGGGUCGGGCCUGGUUAGUACUUGGAUGGGAGACCACCUAGGAAGACUAGGUGCUGUUGUCA
rnacentral:rRNA from 1 species